CCUACGGGAGGCUGCAGUGAGGAAUAUUGCACAAUGGAGGCAACCCUGAUGCAGCGACGCCGCGUGCAUGAAGACGUCUUUCUGUGUUGUAAACUGUAUCUGCAGGAGGGUAACAGGACGUUAGCUGACUAAUAAGACCCUGCUAACUACGUACCAGCAGCCGCGGUAAUACGUAGGGGGCAAGCGUUAUCCGGAUUUACUGGGUGUAAAGGGAGCGUAGACGGUAGGGCAAGUCUGAGGUGAAAGCCCAGGGCUUAACUUCGGUACUGCCUUGGAAACUGUUAGACUAGAGAGUUGGAGUGGUAAGUGGAAUGCAUGGUGUAGCGGUGAAAUGCGUAGAUAUCAGGCGGAACACCAGUGGCGAAGGCGGCUUACCGAGC
rnacentral:rRNA from 1 species